rnacentral:rRNA from 1 species
AGUGAACGCUGGCGGCGUGCCUAACACAUGCAAGUCGAACGGACGAAGAGAGCUUGCUCUCCUAGUUAGUGGCGCACGGGUGAGUAACACGUAGCUAACCUGCCCCAUAGUAAGGGACAACAGUUGGAAACGACUGCUAAUACCUUAUACUCCUUCUCUACCUAAGUAGAGUCGGGAAAGUUUUUUCGCUAUGGGAUGGGGCUGCGGCCUAUCAGCUUGUUGGGGAGGUAAUGGCUCACCAAGGCUAUGACGGGUAGCUGGUCUGAGAGGAUGAUCAGCCACAUUGGAACUGAGACACGGUCCAAACUCCUACGGGAGGCAGCAGUGGGGAAUUUUACACAAUGGGCGAAAGCCUGAUGUAGCAACGCCGCGUGGAGGAUGAAGGAUUUAGGUUCGUAAACUCCUUUUAUAAGGGAAGAAAUUUGACGGUACCUUAUGAAUAAGCACCGGCUAACUCCGUGCCAGCAGCCGCAGUAA